rnacentral:sRNA from 1 species
ACCCUUCCGGUUGCAGCCUGAGAAAUCAGGCUGAUGGCUGGUGACUUUUUUAGUCACCAGCCU